rnacentral:rRNA from 1 species
UACGGAGGGUGCAAGCGUUAUCCGGAUUCACUGGGUUUAAAGGGUGCGUAGGCGGCGCGGUAAGUCGGGUGUGAAAUCUCGGAGCUUAACUCCGAAACUGCAUUCGAUACUGCCGUGCUUGAGGACUGGAGAGGAGACUGGAAUUCUCGGUGUAGCGGUGAAAUGCGUAGAUAUCGAGAGGAACACCUGCGGCGAAGGCGGGUUGCUGGGCUGACACUGACGCUGAAGCGCGAAAGCCAGGGGAGCGAACGGG